rnacentral:misc_RNA from 1 species
GAUGAAGAACGUAGCGAAAUGCGAUAAGUAAUGUGAAUUGCAGAAUUCAGUGAAUCAUCGAGUUUUUGAACGCAUAUUGCGCCCCCUGGUAUUCCGGGGGGCAUGCCUGUCCGAGCGUCAUUACAACCCUCAAGCUCAGCUUGGUGUUGGGCCCCGCCGCCCCGGCGGGCCCUAAAGUCAGUGGCGGUGCCGUCCGGCUCCGAGCGUAGUAAUUCUUCUCGCUCUGGAGGUCCGGUCGUGUGCUCGCCAGCAACCCCCAAUUUUUUUCAGGUUGACCUCGGAUCAGGUAGGGAUACCCGCUGAACUUAAGCAUAUCAAUAAGCGGAGGA